GCCCCCACCUCCUCUGGCCACUUAGGCUGCUUCAGGACCCUGUAGUCUUGCAGAGAAGAGGGAGGAAGUCACUUCGCGAGCAGCCCCCUCCUGUUGUCUAGACAUCAGGGAAGAGAUGUGAUCUUGGGGAUGCUGCAAGGACUGCAGAGAUUAUACCCGGAUUUCCAGUCAGAGAUGGAUCCUGCCCUCAAGAUCCCUCAUUUGCGAGUUGCAUCUGGGCCUCCAGAAGAAGGAAAUAAGGAACUCACACAGAGAAGAAGCUGUGUCAUUCCCCAUGGGGACUUCCCUGGGUGGCAUCUGAAGCAUGAAUGUCAGAAUGCCUGUGGUACUGGUGGUAGACAGAGGACUUAGGCUGUUGGGUUCUAAGGAAGUGAUGUCUCCUGCCAGGACAGAUGUAGAUGGGAAGUUGGAGCUGAGGGUGGGGACCUACACAGGAAGCAACUUGUGAGGUAAACACAGCGGGUGGGGAAGCUGCAGAGCAAGCAACCAAUUCACUCUCACAAACGGAGGCUGCCUCGGAAAUGGUCGGCAUCAAACACCGAGGUAGCAGUUAUCAGGAGUCUCCCAUCAGCAGCCCUUGUUGCUUUUUGUGGAUGUACAUAUGUAUGUGAUGGGCCUCUAUGCUUUGUGUGUUUGUGUGUGUGUGCCUACAAUUGUGUCCCAGUGUAUAUGUGAGACCUAGAAGGUCAGGUUGUGUUUGCUCAUUUUCCACCAUGAAAUCAUUCUUGAAACUUGUGAACAAUGUGAAGGGAAAACAACAUGGGGAAGUGGAGCCGCCCAGCUGGGUUCCCGUCCCUGCACCCAGGCUGGGUCUGCACCUCCAGCCUGGCCCUCCUGCUCCCUUGGCCUCUCCCUUCCAGAGAUGCACCAAGCCUGGGCCUGGGAGAACACCCGCGGCCAGGUGCCAGGGGCUCACCCCACGGUGUGACAGCCUGCUGGUCUGUUUGUUUUCCCUAAGCCGUGGCCUUUCUCCAUGGGCCUAU